GAGAAGGCCGGGAAGAUGGCGGCCUCCUGGAGGCUAGGCUGUGAUCAGCGGUUGCUGCGUGGGCUGGUUAAGGGGGCUGCUGUGUGGUCUGCCGGUCGUGGAGCUAGUUGGAGAUGGUUUCACAGCACGCAGUGGCUGCGAGCUGAUCCUAUUACGAUACUAAUGCCAUCACUGUCUCCUACAAUGGAAGAAGGGAACAUUGUGAAAUGGCUGAAAAAGGAAGGUGAAGCUGUGAGUACUGGAGAUGCCUUAUGUGAAAUAGAGACUGACAAAGCUGUGGUUACCUUAGAUGCAAGUGAUGACGGCAUCUUGGCCAAAAUAGUGGUUGCAGAAGGAUCUAAAAAUAUACGGCUAGGUUCACUAAUUGGUUUGCUAGUUGAAGAAGGAGAAGAUUGGAAACAUGUUGAAAUUCCCAAAGAUAUAGGUCCUUCGUCACCAGCUUCAAAACCAUCAGUGCCUUGCCCUUCACCAGAACCACAGAUUUCUACCCCUGUCAAAAAGGAACACACACCAGGAAAACUACAGUUCCGUUUAAGUCCAGCUGCCCGCAAUAUUCUGGAAAAACACGCACUGGAUGCUAACCAGGGCACAGCCACUGGCCCUCGGGGGAUAUUCACUAAAGAGGAUGCUCUCAAACUGGUCCAGUUGAAACAGAUGGGCAAGAUCACUGAAUCCAGACCCACCCCGGCCCCGCCAACCAUUCCCACAGCGUCUUUACCCCCACAGGCCACAGCCAGGCCAUCUUAUCCCCGGCCAAUGAUCCCUCCAGUAUCAACUCCUGGACAGCCUAAUGUAGCGGGCACGUUCACUGAAAUCCCUACUAGCAAUAUUAGAAGAGUUAUUGCCAAGAGGUUAACUGAAUCUAAACGUACUGUACCUCAUGCAUAUGCUACUACUGACUGUGACCUUGGAGCUGUUUUAAAAGUUAGGCAAAAUCUGGUCAGAGAUGACAUCAAAGUAUCAGUAAACGAUUUUAUCAUCAAGGCAGCAGCUGUUACCCUUAAACAAAUGCCGAGUGUUAAUGUAAGCUGGGAUGGAGAGAGCCCAAAGCAACUGCCCUUUAUUGACAUUUCAGUGGCUGUGGCAACAGAUAAAGGGUUAAUUACACCAGUCAUCAAAGAUGCUGCUGCUAAGGGUCUGCCAGAGAUUGCUGACUCUGUGAAGGCUCUAUCAAAGAAAGCUAGAGAUGGAAAAUUGUUACCUGAAGAAUACCAAGGAGGAUCUUUUAGUAUUUCCAAUUUGGGGAUGUUUGGCAUCGAUGAAUUUACUGCAGUGAUCAACCCUCCUCAGGCCUGCAUUUUGGCUGUUGGGAGAUUCCGACCUGUGCUGAAGCUCACUCAGGAUGAAGAGGGUAAUGCCAAACUGCAGCAACACCAGCUCAUAACGGUCACAAUGUCCAGUGACAGCCGAGUGGUAGAUGAUGAACUGGCUACCAGGUUUCUGGAAAGUUUUAAAGCAAACCUGGAGAAUCCUAUCCGACUUGCCUAAUCCUCAAAGAUGAGAAGUUGGUCUUUGGCUUAGUUAAUUGUAUCAUUGUUACUGAGAAACAUACACUAUAGGAAAACAAUUAGGUAUUUAAGUGUAAAGUGAAUGAAAUGUUUAUUUAGGGUGAAAGAGUUUGACCUGAGUUGUCUUCAUUUUCAUUUUGGGUUCAGAGUUAUAUAAAUAAAUAACAAACUGUAACUAAUGGAAGGAAGAGAACAUUUGGUUAGUCAGAUGCAUUUUUAAUUUAACCACUGGUGCUGUACAAAAGGGAUGUUCAGCUAGAUGUAAAUUAAAUUAGAUAUUUGGCUCAUUGGAGCAUUUUAGAAUAUUUGAGGAUGUAUUAUAAGUUGUAAAAGCAAAAAAUUUUAGAACUCUACCUUAAUUGUGUUGAAAUUAGAAGUGGUCUUCAAAGAGAUACCCAUUAAUGUAGCAGUGGGACGUCACUUUUAUAAGCACUGCUCUAGAUAUACUUGAACAAUUUAGUAUGUACAGAAGUUUAUUCUGGAUACUAGCAGAUAAAUAAGAAUCACUCUGUAUUAGGGGUUGUGGCAACAUUAUUGAAUUUUUUAUGUAUAUAAAGCCAUAUGUUUUAGAGUGGUUUCUAUCAGUCUUAUUUUACACUUCUGUGACACUGUGAACUAAAGAAGAAGAAUUAAAAAGACUCAAAGGUGAAGAAAGAGACCAAAAUAUUUUGUUUGCUUUGAUAAUAAACUACAGUGAAAACAUCUAAACCUUCAGAAAUAAACUGCUCACCUUCAUACUGAGUUGGGAUAUAUUAAAGUGAAAUGGGUGGCGAUACCCGCCCCUGCCUGCCUUACAGAGCUGACAUGGACUGCACAGGAGAAAUGCUCUGUAAAUUCAAGACAUUUUAAUUCUUCAUGGACAUCACAGCCAGGCUUUUCAUAUAAUCAGUGGCUUCUCAUGGUUUGACUUUUCAUGGUUUGACUUCUCAGCUGUUGGAACAAAUGCCCGUUCAUUCUGACCAAAAAAUAUUUUCUAUACUAUUUCUAUACUGCUUAGGUUUAUGUAAGAAAAUCAUCAUUUCUAAAAAUAGUUCUGUUGCAGCGUGAGGUCAGAGAAUAACACUGAUUUGAGAAAGGGGUAUGGUGUCUUGACUGGGAUCCUUAAACAGAGGAUGAACUGUGUGCUGUAUGAGCAGGCUGUCUUCCACGUUAUAAAUUUAUACUUACUUGUAGUACUGAUAGGGAUCACACUGAGAGCAUAUGAAAAUGAAAUUUUAUACCUUUUUUUUUUUUUUUUCUUAUUUAAACAAGGAAAAUGACCAAAAUGUUGGGAAGACUUCUAAGGAAAAGGCAACACACAUUCUAGUUAACGCUUGGGCAUGAAAAUAUCAAUGAAUAUUAAAAUUUAUAAGUCAAAACGGCCCUGCUUCUCCCUGAUUGCGACUUCGAGUUAACAUCUUCAGGCACAGUUCACUGUCUAUUUUGUGGCAGAUUAAAAUCUUCAGUAUACUGCUGGCCAGACUCCUUUGUUUGAAACAUUACUAAGAAAUUGAUACAUACUGGUAUAAGUGUUUUAUGUACAUGUCAAAUGGAACUUCUAUUUUCAGAUUUUUUUUUUUCCUUCCUGCAUUUUAGACUUAAUUUCACACUAAAUUGUACAGGCCAGAUAUUUGGGCAUUAUGCUAAAAGUAAAACUAGUUUCCUAACCUUUUAUUGAAAGAUAGGUGGUGCUGUGAGUUAAUAUAUUGUAGUUAGAGUGUGGGAGAAAAAUAAAACUGACAAUUCUCAGUUUUCAAGGAAAAUUUGUCCUUAUUACUCAUUGCAUCACGGUGGACUUUUUCUCAGGUGAAGUGAGGAAAUGAAAGAACCAAGCGUAUUGCUGGUAAGAAUUAACCAUUAUUUUAAAUGGUGACGUUAUUAAUGGGAAACUUUUGUUGACUUUUGAAAAAGGAAAUAACAGGGCAGAAUUACUUUCAAGUUAAUCUGGCCACAAUAUGCAAGGUAGGUCAAAAUGGAGAGGACAGCCAUCAGCAGGACCAGCUGGAAGCUUUUGCUAUAAUGAAAGUGUCCAUUGGUUAGAUUCUGUACCAGGUCAGGGGCUUUAAAGACGGGAGAAACUUAAGAAUAUUCGACAUGUUCAUUUGCUGUGUAUAUUAUGAAUAUGUGGGGUUGGUGUGUGCUAUCGGAUAAUGCAGCAACAGUGAUGCAGUUUCCCAGUCCAAAACACCACCCUCCAUGGCCCCCAUCACCAGUGUACAAAAGGUUAAGAUUCUGAUAAGUUAUGUACAGCAAGUGGUAUAUUUCAGGAAACAUUUAAGCUUUUUGUAAAUGGGAAACACAACAGUUUUCUAAUAAAAUCAUUUGAAA